rnacentral:rRNA from 1 species
GAUGAACGCUGGCGGCGUGCCUAAUACAUGCAAGUCGAGCGAACAGAUAAGGAGCUUGCUCCUUUGACGUUAGCGGCGGACGGGUGAGGAACACGUGUGUAACCUACCUAUAAGACUGGAAUAACGCCGGGAAACCGGGGCUAAUGCCGGAUAACAUGUAGAACCGCAUGGUUCUAAAGUGAAAGAUGGUUUUGCUAUCACUUAUAGAUGGACCCGCGCCGUAUUAGCUAGUGGGUAAGGUAACGGCUUACCAAGGCAACGAUACGUAGCCGACCUGAGAGGGUGAUCGGCCACACUGGAACUGAGACACGGUCCAGACUCCUACGGGAGGCAGCAGUGGGGAAUAUUCGACAAUGGGCGAAAGCCUGACGGAGCAACGCCGCGUGAGUGAUGAAGGUCUUCGGAUCGUAAAACUCUGUUAUUAGGGAAGAACAACUGUGUAAGUAACUGUGGACGUCUUGACGGUACCUAAUCAGAAAGCCACGGCUAACUACGUG